GGGAGAGGGGAGCACCCUCCAUAAUUUAGGGGGCAUCCGGCAUCACUUUUGCUUUGACACCAAACCUAGCGCUCUCUCUUUCCUCCUAUGUCCCACCCCCGCUUACUUCCUAAGAAAGGCCCCCUCUCCUUCCUUCCUUCCUUCCUUUUUAUUUAUUUAUUUAUCUAUUUAUUUCCUCCUCCUCCCUCCGCCCAGAGCCCUUGGCAAGGAUGGAGCGCAGGUAAAGCUCCCCUUUGAUGCCAUUCGCGGCUGCUCAUUGGCUGGCUGGCGGGCCGGCGGUGCCUGCCACUGGCCGCUUUGUUCUCUCGGACGGAACGUUCCCCUGCCGGCCGCGCGGCUCUUGAGCGGCAGCAGCAGCAGCCGCAGCUCCUACUAUGUGAAAGGGAAAGAGAGACAGAGACAGGCAGAGAGAGAGAUAGAAGCACCGCGCCGGAGAGAGUUGCGAGGAGAAGGAAUGACAGAAAGAGCUCGUUACUGCAGGCUGCAAAAUAACAGCGGGGAGGAAGGGAGGGAGGAAGAGCGCGCCAGAGAGCGGCCCCACUCCCUCUCCCUGCCAGAGUGCCCGGCAGAAGCGGCGGCAGCGCAAGGGCAGGUGGAGAGGAGGGGGGGGGUCGCACUCCCUUCUUCCCCUCAGCAGCAGAAGACAAGGCGGCGGAGGCGGCGGCAGCAACCGGGGCUGGCCGCGAAGGCGCUCAAGAUUCUCUGCCCAGGAGAAACAUGGGGUCUUCCCAGUAGAACCUGCCAUUUCCCCCAAAACAGCAGAAACUAAUGGAAAGAGGGCGGAGUUUAGAUAUUAUAGGGCACAGAAUAGAAACUGCACCAACAGCAUCUAGCCAAAGACGCAGAAGUGAAGCAUUACCCAGGGAAUUGUUUCUCAUGGAUCAAUACCAUGUAAAAUUCACUCAGGAGCCAUAUACAACAAUACUUAUGGGAAAUACACAUAUAUAUGGGAGCAGAAUAGCGGAUAGAGAUUUUGCAAGUAACUCUGGCUUUGCUGGCUGUGGGAAUACUGAGAUGCCAAUGGAUGGUGUGUCAAGACAGCCCCAAAUUAUUUUGGCCACAUCAAGUUAAAAUGUCUGUGCUUGAGGCUUCUGGAGUGCCGACAAGACUCCAAAAUGCGACUCCAUGAUGCGAUUCCAGGGUGCACAUUAAGCAGAGGUCUGUUUGGAUUCUUUGGAGAAAGCCCUUCCUUAAGGUUCCUAUAGAAUCCAGAAAGGGAUGUCACAGGACAGCAAAGCUGUUCGGCUGGUCCUUUAAUUUUGCUACCUUUUAGGGGUCUUUUCUUUAUUUCUACCAUCAUGCUGAAUAUCCUUUCUUACAUCAAAUUCUCCUUUCACAACUCAAGAGGUUGUGUUACCCCACAGCACUUCUGGCCCAGGGAUUCUCCAUGGUGACUGACUGAACAACUUUCAAUACAGCCUACACCUGCCUUUUUGGUCAGCCCCAUUGAGAAAUGCAUGGUGAAGUCUGUGCAGCUACAACCUUCGUGUUGGGAAGAGAAAAGGGCAGUAAGGAAGGGUUCGGACAAUGGUUAUUUCUUCCCAGAGGCUCAUCUUCUUACCAGAUGCAUCAUUUGCCCCACUG